CUCUUAUCCCGAGCUGGUGGAGGGACAGGCCCUAUGAAACCCAGCAACCUGCUCUACAAAAAAGCAACUAGCUUUUGCGUUUAACUUCAUUGAGCGAAGGUGCUAACCUGCAGCAAGGCAUAGGUCCUUGAACGAUAAGAG
rnacentral:ncRNA from 2 species